rnacentral:rRNA from 1 species
UACGUAGGUGCAAGCGUUGUCCGGAAUUAUUGGGCGUAAAGAGCUCGUAGGCGGUCUGUCGCGUCUGCUGUGAAAAAACCCGAGCUCAACUCGGGCCUGCAGUGGGUACGGGGGCAGACUAGAGUGCGGUAGGGGGAGAUUUUUGGAAUUCCUGGUGUAAGCGGUGGAAAAAUGCGCAGAUAUCAGGAGGAACACGAUGGCGAAAAGGCCAGAUCUCUGGGGCCGUAACUGACGCUGAGGGGAGCGAAAAAGCGUGGGGAGCGAAAACAGGAUAGAAAACCC